rnacentral:rRNA from 1 species
GACGAACGCUGGCGGCGUGCUUAACACAUGCAAGUCGAACGGAAAGGCCCUGCUUUUGUGGGGUGCUCGAGUGGCGAACGGGUGUGUAACACGUGAGUAACCUGCCCUUGACUUUGGGAUAACUUCAGGAAACUGGGGCUAAUACCGGAUAGGAGCUCCUGCUGCAUGGUGGGGGUUGGAAAGUUUCGGCGGUUGGGGAUGGACUCGCGGCUUAUCAGCUUGUUGGUGGGGUAGUGGCUUACCAAGGCUUUGACGGGUAGCCGGCCUGAGAGGGUGACCGGCCACAUUGGGACUGAGAUACGGACCAGACUCGUACGGGGGGCAGCAGUGGGGAAUAUUGCACAAUGGGCGGAAGCCUGAUGCAGCAACGCCGCGUGCGGGAUGACGGCCUUCGGGUUGUAAACCGCUUUCGCCUGUGACGAAGCGUGAGUGACGGUAAUGGGUAAAGAAGCACCGGCUAACUACGUG